rnacentral:rRNA from 1 species
CAGCAGCCGCGGGAAUACCAGCAGCCCAAGUGGUGGUCGCGUUUAUUGGGCCUAAAGCGCUCGUAGCCUGGCCGGUAAGUUCCCCGUGAAAUCGGGUCGCCCAACGAUUCGGCUCGCGGGGAAUACUGUCGGUCUUGGGGCCGGGAGACGCCGAGGGUACUCCGGGGGUAGCGGUGAAAUGCUGUAAUCCUCGGGGGACUACCAGUGGCGAAGGCGCUCGGCGAUAACGGGCCUGACGGUGAGGGGCGAAAGCUGGGGGCGCGAACGGGAUUAGAUACCCCAGUAGUCCCUGUCUCUUAUA